GGUACCUUCCGAUCAUGCCUAGUUUCAGGCAUCUGGGAGUUGUGGUAAGUUUUUCUAGGGGUCUAUGUCUUCGGCUUUUGGAAAUUCAGUUUGCGCUCUGAUUCGUUUCUGGUUUUGUGUUUUCGUAUUGCGUAGAUACAGUUUCAGGUUUUGAUUUGAACGAUCAUCAAAGACAUUGCUUUCGGUCCUUUUCUUUCUUGCAGCAUAUCUAGGGAUUUUGUUUGCGCUCUGAUUCUUUUAUUAGUUGAUCUGCUUAUGUUUGCGAUAUGGCGAUUUCGUGUUGUGUAGAUACAAUUUCAAGCUGAUCCUACACAACUUCAAGCUGAUUUUGAAGGAUCAUCAGAGAUUCAUAAUUUGGAAUAUGAAUUCAAGUUGGUGUGGGUUACUUUUCCCGUGAAUUUCUUUGAAAUCUUCGAGUUGUGCUUUAGAUUGGCUUCUAAAUUUCGAUUUAGGAUAUUGGAUUUUUUGGUUGGAUGAUGCAGGAAUUCGAGAUUUUCUUUUUGAAAUAUGGUUUUUGGAUUUUUCAUAGAAGAUUACUCGCUCUAAUAUAUGUGCCUUCGGUGAGGUGUUUUGUUGGAUUCUGGUAACUCUUGUCCCUGACAAUUAUUAUCCAAUUUUUCCCUAAACCCUAAAUUGCAGUUUAUGAAUUUUUUGUACAAGAAGUUUUACGGUAAAAAUUCCACGGGAUGAUGCAUUGAAGUCGGUAAUAAGCUAUCUGUUCUAUUUGAUUUAGGGUUUAUAGUAUAUAUUGGGUUUUGUCCUGGAUUUUUUAGGCUUUGAUCAUGUGUUCUUUAUAUAUUCAGGUUCAGGUAUAAAGAGUGUAAUUGGUUGUGUGGGCUAGUAAGUUUUUCGUUUAUUAAUUUGAUUGAUGAUUGAUUCAAUAUGGGGACGGAGGGCGGAAUGCUUAGGAAUUUGAGAUCAGUUAUGCCUGGUUUGAAACAUAUUUUUUUCACAUGUUUGCAUCUUAAUUGUUGAGUCAUUGAUAUAUUUUCUGUCUCUUUUCAAUACUGUUGGUAUCUUUAGAGUUCUACAUUUUGAAAGAUUGCGGUACCUGCUGUUGAACUGGUCAGAUCUAUUUGUUUGUUUGUCCUUUUUUGGUUACUUUUAAUUAAUUUUAGUGAGUGGACGAGAGGUACAGUCACCAAAUCUCUUCUGGAUUUUUGUUAGCAAUUUGUGUCUGCAGUACAUAUAGAAUGUUGCUACACAAAACAUGGAUGGUGAAACGUUGAAAGGUUGUAGAGUUGCAUGGCUACAGGACUGUUGUAAGUUUUUUUCUGCAUUAAUAUUCAGUAUUAUGAAUAUGCGUGCUAAAAAAGAGAGUUGUUCUAUAUUUGUAAGGUAUUUUUUUAUGUAAUAGUAGAUAAUUUGUUCUCUCGAAGUCGUCCAUGCAGGUAGUCUUGUAGGUGAUUUUUUAAGAGGAAAACGCUUUGCUCAUCAAAAGAUUCAGAUUCAGGCUUACUUCCAAUUUAUUAUUAUUAUUAUUUAUUAUUCAAGUAUUGUUUUUGAAGAUUUGGUGGCAUUUAUUUUUAAAUAUUUUUUUUUUGAGUGUUUUUAUUGGGAUUUCUACUUUUCUUUUCAGUUUUUAUUUUUAGUGUUGCGCCAGACUUAAAACCUUCCAUCUGUUGUGUCCUGGACCAAGCUACUCUUACACCAGUUGUACUUGGUGGAAAGGUUAGUGCCUUGUUUGCCAGCAAUUUUUUUUAAGGCAAAUCUAAGCACAUGUUUGUUGCAGAUGAAAACAUAUGGGUUUUGCUGGUAAUUUUUAUUGAGCUGGUAUAUUGGUUUUCAAUAGCACGGGGGUUUUGCAACAUAUCUGCCUGUGUGGAUGAGCUUUCUUGGAGAGUUGCGGGAACUACGACAAUGAUUUUUUCAACUGUUGGCGUAACACUCAUAAAAAUUUGAUGUGACUUAUUAAUAUUGUUUUUUCAUAAACUAUUUCGAUUUUAUUCACUAGUUGCUAGUGAAUUAUGAUGUUGUUCACUUGCACUGGUUAUGCAACUAGGGAACGACUCUGAUCUAUAUUUUGGGCACUGAAUGCUAAGGAUUAGAAGAAGAAUAUCAAGAUGAAUGGCAAAUGUGAUUUCGUUUGGGAUGACUUACGUCACACGGUGCUGGUGCUGCUUGUCGUAACUUUUAAUUUGAUGUACGCUUAUGAUUAGCCUUGUUUGUUUAUUAUUUGAUUUUAAGGUUUUUUAAGUGUUUGGGAUUCACAAAUUUGUAUUAUUGCUUGGCAGAUUGAAGUACAGAAAUGCUGUAAAUUUUGAAUUAGUUAUGCCUGGUUUGCGUCUUCUCCUCCUAUGUUUGCACCUCAAAAUUAACACUUCCUCCUCUUUUGCAACCCUGCUCAUAACUUUUUUAUUUUUCAUGUUGUUCACAUUUUUUUUUUUACUACUAGGUGUUUGUCUUUGAAGAACAUAGAACAUGCAGCUGUACCUAUUGAUACACUGGUAGCCGUAUAUGCUAAUUCACUACAUUGUUUUUUUUUUAAUUUUUGGGGACCCCUUACCCCCUACUUCCUUCUCUCUUCUCUUGGUUUUAUUAGGCAGAUAGAUGUACUCCCAUCCACACUUGCACAAAAUUUUCUAAGCAACUUGCCAAAGGUAUGCAUAAUUAUAUCCCAUUCUGAUCAUGGAUGGCGAAUCAUUGUGUAGAUACAAUUUCUGGCUGAUUUUGAAGGAUCAUCAAAGAUAUCCUAAUUUGGAAUAUGAAUUCGAGUUGGUAUGGGUUACUUUUCCCGUGAAAUUCUUUGAAAAUUUUCUAGUUGUGCUGUAUUGGUUUGUAAAUUUCAAUUUAGGAUAUUGGAUUUUUUGGUUGGAUGUUGCAGGAGUUCGAGAUUUUCUUUUUGAAAUGUGGCUUUUGGAUAUUUCAUGGAAGAUUACUCGCUCUAAUUUGUUCUGUUGGAUUCUGGUCACUCUUGUCCCUUAUUAUCCAAAAUUUUCCUAAACCCUAAAUUGCAGUUUGUGAAUUAUUCUUAUAAGAAGCUUUACGUAAAAAUUCCAUGGGAUGUUGUAUUCAAGUUGGUAAUAAGCUGGGUCUAUGGCAUAUAUUGGGUUUUGUCCUGGAUUUUUAGGCUUUGACCAUUUGUUCUUUCUAUAUUAAGGUUCAGGUAUAAAGAGUGUAAUUGGUUGUGGGUUAGUAUGUUUUCCGUUUAUUAGGUUCAGGUAUAAAGACGGUAAUUGGUUGCGAGUUAGUAAGUUUUCUGUUUAUUAGUUUGAUUGAUGAUUGAUUCAAUAGAGGGAUGGAGGAUGGAAUGCUUGGGAAUUUGAGAUCAGUUAUGCCUGGUUUGAAACAUCUUUUUUCACAUGUUUGCAUCUCAAUUGUUGAGUCAUUGAUAUAUUUCCAGUCUCUUUUCAAUGCUGUUAGUAACUUUUAUCUUACUGUUAGAUGUCUACAUUUUAAAGGAUUGCAGUACCUGCUGUUGAACUGGUCAGAUCUAUUUGUUUAUUUGUCCUUUUUUGGGUUUCCCCUGCCCCAUGUUCUUUUAAUUACUUGUAAUUAAUUUUAGUGAGUGGAUGAGAGGUACAGUCACCCAAUCUCUUCUGGUAUUUUGUUAGCAAUUUGUCUGAGGUGCAUAGAAUGUUGCUACACAACAUGGAUGGUGAAACAUUAAUGGUUGUAGAGUUGCAUGGCUAUGGGACUCUUGUAGUUUUGUAAGUGAUUCUUAAAGAGGAAAACGCCCUUUGCUUAUCAAAAGAUUGAGGCUUACUUCCAAUUUAUUAUUUAUUAUUCAAGUAUCUUUUUUGAAGAGUUGUUGGCAUUUAUUUAAAAAAAAAUAGAAUUUUUGGUGUUUUGAUUUGGAAGUUCUACUUUUCCUUUCAAUUUUUAUUUUCAGUGUUGCACCAGACUCAAUUCCUUCCAUCUGUUGUGUCCUGCACUAAGUUCUGCUCUUACACCAGUAGUACCUAGGGGGGUGGGGGGUGAAACCUUACAAUAAUAUGAUUAUAUGCUUUGGAUGUGAUAUUUUGUUUUAUUGGUUUUUUAGCCUCUUUGUUUUUUUUUUUUGGAGGGGGGGGGGGGGCGCAAAUUUU